GUAGUACUCCCUCCGUUUGGAAUUACUUGUCACAAAAAUGGAUGUAUCUACAACUAAAAUACAUCUAGAUACAUUCAUUUCUUGGACGAGUAAUUCCGAAAGGAGGGAGUAUGUA
rnacentral:pre_miRNA from 1 species